rnacentral:rRNA from 1 species
GUCUGGCCUGCCCACUGAAAUAUUUAAAUGGCCGCAGUAUACUAACUGUGCAAAGGUAGCAUAAUCAUUAGUCUUUUAAUUGAAGGCUGGUAUGAAUGGUUGGACGAAAUAUUAACUGUUUCAUAAAAAUUUAUAAUAGAAUUUUAUUUUUUAGUCAAAAAGCUAAAAUUUAUUUAAAAGACGAGAAGACCCUAUAAAUCUUUAUAUUUAAAUUAUUAUAAUUUUAUAGAUUAAUUUUAUUAUUAUAGUUGAUAAUAUUUUAUUGGGGUGAUAUUAAAAUUUAAUAAACUUUUAAUUAAUAUGUUCAUUAAUUAAUGUUUUUUUGAUCCUUUAUUAAUGAUUAAAAGAUUAAGUUACUUUAGGGAUAACAGCGUAAUUUUUUUUGAGAGUUCAUAUCGAAAAAAGAGAUUGCGACCUCGAUGUUGGAUUAAGAUAUAAUUUUAGGUGUAGCCGCUUAAAUUUUAAGUCUGUUCGACUUU